AGAGAGAGAGAGAGAGAGAGAAGUAGUAAUAAUCUUCAGAGGAGGAAGGGAAGAGGGAAGGGAGUUAGGGAGGUGAGGAAUCCAAGUGUUCCAAGCACUCCCAGACAAAUUAGUUUCAGAGAGAGGAGAAAAGCAACCUGUGCUUUACGACUCAGAAAAGGAGAUUUCGAGAAUCAUAAGGGUGACUCUAAGGAAAUUGCGUGGUUACUAACCCAACCCAGACCAAACCCCAUCAAUAUCAUCUCUCUCCAUACUUCUAAAUAGUUAAAUAUUGAAGCUGAGGGUGGUGCAAUUGUGAAACUGAGAUCAUCAAAGCCCACAACAUGUUCAGCUUCUUUCACUCUUUUUUCUCAAAACCCUACUGGAGGGAGGCAGAUCUUCGCUAAGUUUAGCGAUGGUUUCCCCCCAGCAGCAAAGAAGAAGAAGAAGAAAAAGAGUGGCAGACAGUUGAGGUGGAGUGGGUUUCUUGAUUCAUCAGAUGUGUUUGUUUUAUGCCAACUCAAACCCUUGUCAGCCUCUCCUCUUGAAUAAACCCUUACCAAGUAUUGCACCAUCCUUCUUCCCCUACCUUGGAUGCCUUUUAUUUUCCUCCUCAUUAUAAAUCUCAAUCCCUCUUACCUCUACUGCUCGCUGAGCCAAUUCAAGUGGUUCCCUUUACUGUCUAGCUACUCACCACCUGAUCUCGAGCGAGGCACAGCGAUCAUGGCCAUCUCCAAGUGAUUCGAUUUGGGCUAAGUGAAUAAGUAGCUGCAACGUAUAGAUAUAUGCCUGGCUCCCUGUAUGCCAUUUGCAGAGCCCAUCGAACACAUCGCUGGUCUUCGUGAAUGGCGUGCCAGGAGCCAUGCAUGUUACAUGUCACAUGUCACAUGUAUAUCUAUCAUCUAUCCUAUGGACUGCAACUACAACUAGGGUUCUAGGUUUUAGGCCUCUCUCUCCCUCUCUAGAUUCUAGGGUUUGGUACGGUUGAAAUUAAAUUAUAUUAAAAGGAGUUGCAUUAAAUGCAGGUUUUCACAUGUCUGAACCAGGUGAGAGUACUUUCUCAUCAUUUGCAGGAUUUAGGGUUUUUUUUUUAAAUUAUUUUGCACAACACACAGCCUUUUGGUUCCUUUCCUUUCCCCAGGUGAUGUUAUGUUGUUUCAAUGUAACAUGGUUCUUUGUUGCAUACGUCCUUGCCACACUACUCUUAAUUUGUGUACACUCUCAUUGAUUCAAGCCUGCCAACAAUUUAGGCACAAAGAAAUUUUCUAAUCUGAUGAGUUAUUGCUUUUAGAUGGAUGGUAGUUGCAGCAAUCAGAUGCUCAGGAUCUUCCUUCUAAUACAACCUUUAACCUAGUUAGCCUUUAGAUAUGGCCCCAAAUGUAACUCUCUCUCUCUCUCUCUCUCUCUCUCUCUCUCUUGCAGGGCUUCAGAGAAGAAAAUGCAGGGAAGUCCUUCUGGGGUAGGUUACUAGCUGAGCUGCCAAAGUCUUAACUAUUAAGAAUGCAAGGUCCAGCUACCUAUUUGCAGGAGAAGUGAAUAUGUGCUAUAGUACUACAAUGAACAUCAACCUUGUCUGCUCAAGCUGGAGUGAGUGUCUUUGUUAAGUUCAAAGGAACUCCUGCAAAAUAUGAUUACUUCAAUGACUGUUUCAGGUCAAAGCACCAUAGUCAAGCCUGGCUAGCUGCAUUUAUAUUAUUUGAUGGACCCCGCCGUGGAGAUCUCCUUAAACCAAUGUGGCUUAAAGGCUGGCGUUUCUUGCACGCAAAAGAAGCCGACUCACCUUAUAUGAACAGGUACAUCUUCUUCCUCAGGCAAUUCUCCCUUUCAUUGUCUCUGCUAAAGCUUUGUCUAUCUGCUGUUUUUGUGAAUCUACCUUCCUACACCUUUGUCCACAAAGGAUAUUAGGAGACAGGGAGACGUUUGGGUGGGAGCUUGUGAAUAUAGGUUGUGGACCAUAGACCACUCUACUUCUGGUGGGCGAUUAGAUGAAACUUAGACCCAGAAGAUACAAUCAUUGGACAAGGUUAACAAAUGUGCGCUCAGAGACUUCUUGAUCACAAACACUCUCAAUUCUCUAUAGGUAGUGUAGUCUCCAUGGAUCUCUGAUGAGUUCAUGUUUAUUACUAGAGCUAAUUUAAGAAGGAUUAGUGAUGAUUGUAUUCUCUACCCGAACUAGGGGUGAAACAGGGCCGGGUUGGGCUAACCCAACCCUAGGUCCCAAAUUUCAACCCAAUCCUAACUCAAUCCUGUCGGGUUCAUGCUCAAGCCCAACCCUAUAGGGCUCAAGUUUGGGCCGAGUUGGGUCGGGUUGACCCUAGCUUGUCUUCUUAGUGGAAUCACAUUCCGAUAAGUACGAUUCAAUUCAAAUUUUAAUUCCUAAAAUGAAUUGAAACGCAAUUUUUUUAUUUUAAUUAAAACCCUAAAAUGAAUUCAUCCAUUAAACUAUACCGAACAUGAUAUUUUAUCAUUCUUUUAUGGAGAUUUCAUGUGUCUUUAUUUUUUCAUGUCACCCUUAUUUUAAUCCCUUUCAUCAAAAGUCAACAUAUUAAGACAUAAUUCAAUCAUUUACUGUUUUUAGAAUUUCACCUUGAUUUAUAAUAAUGCUUAAUUUUCAAUAUAUAUAAGGACCAAAAAACUCAAGUACUGCAAGCCCCCACCUCUCCUCAUUCCUCAUUUCACUGUUGUAGAGAUGGGUUUUUCCUUUGGCUUUGUGCUCUCUCUUUUGUCUAUACUGUUCUCUAUCAUAUUUUUGUUACACAAGAAACUCAAUGACAACAACAAGAAACUCCCUUGGCUAGGAGCGACACAUGUAUUCUACAAAGCACAAUAAUAAUCAAGAUUAGACUCAGGGCAAGUUAUGGUCAGGUUGGGUUUUCUAUGCCUCAACCCAGGCCCGGCCCAACCCCGCACAGGGUUGGGUGGGGUUGGGCCUGGUUGGCCCUCAUAAUCGGGUUAGACAGGGUUCGGGCUCAGGGCGGGUUUGGAUCGUCAGGGCUAAACUUACACCCCUAACCCGAACCCAUCUGUGGGAGAUUAUGUGGAUAAACGCACGGUUUCAAGUUCGAUUCUCCAUUUGUGUAUUUGCAAUUUAAGUGGAGACUGUGGUGAUGGGUUUUGGCGUUAGUCCCCUCGUGUCGAGGUGUGCUUAAGCUAGCCUGAAUACCUUGGUUAAAAAAAAAAAAGAAUGAUCUCUACCUGCAUUCUAUGGCAGUUAAAGAAAUAGAAUCUUAAAAGGUAUUUUUGAACAAUACUAAAAUCUAGCAAAAUAUUUAUAUAUUAAAAAAAAAUUAUUCCAUUUCUUUGAUUACCAGCAAAGAUUAACCUGGUAAUAGAGGCAAGAGGCAAGUAUUAAUGAAUCAUCUUUUGCCUUAAUAAGAGAGAGAAUACACGAAAAGGGAUGAAAGGCUCUCCCAAAUCUCAGACUAACUGUACGAUAUCCCCCCUUAGUCUUUUGGCAUUUGCGCUCCACACGUUGAUGUGAUAAAUUAUUAAUUAUGGUUUCAUGCAUUAUGACAAACUUAUGAAAGCGACUGCACGCAAUUCUUUUGCACUUUCUCUUAACCAAAUCUUUGUCCAAAAUAUUGGCCCGGGCAAGGCCCAGUUUUGUUUGGUAAAACUCACUCUUAAAACCUAGCUAGACGUUAAAAAACAGUACACUAAUCUUUAUAAGUCUUUAUAUUCGGUUUUUCAUAAUUUCACAUUUGAUGUAGGAUCGUUGUUUUUGUAUAGAAUCUUAAUAAUUUUUUUCUCUCUUUUGCCACGUGUGGGAGAACAUAGGAACUGAAUUUUUUUCCAAGGAAUUUUCUCUAUCAUCUGAGACACCUUGAACCUAACAUGGGGUUGAACUUUUUAAAUUGUUGAUAUCCAGGAUGCUUGCAUAUGUUAAUUAAAAUUUCAUAAGCAACUCAUCUUGUCAAAAGAGAUAAAAGGAUGAAAGUAACAAAUAUGGAUCAGGUCUUGGUACAAGAGAGAGGAAUGAUUCUUGUAUGGUGUUUAAUCUACACUUGAGUUCUAUUUAAUCUCUCUUCCUGUAAUUGGUUUUUAUUUUGAGUAGAGUUCAAGUGUGGAUCAAACACCCUAAAAGAAUCAUUCUCGUAUGAGGAGUUGGUCCGAACUCUUGAAAACUUGAAAUUGUCGGGUAUUAUUUCUAAAAAUGUAUUUAGUUUAUAAUAAGAUUGCUGCUUGUCAUUUUCUUCCGAUUUUUAUCUUAAUAGAGUGGAAUUUUUAUUAAGAAAUCAGGUUUAAGACUCACGCAAUCCUGAAUAAAAGGGGUGAAAGUAAUGGAAUUUUACUUCGACUACAUUUGUUGUGUUGUAAAGCAAAAUUAAUUAAAAAUCGUACAAAAUUAUGUAAGGAUUAGGAAGAAAAAUUUUGUUUUAAUGAAAAAAAAAUAGAAAACAACAUCCAUUUCAAAAUUCAGAGAUUUUUUCCCUUAAAAUAGUGACAGUAUAUUUUAAUUUACCAUUGGUACUCUUGAUAGUUCCAUGGAGACCUUAUCACCAUCGUAUAUCAAUCAUUUUCAGAUGUUAAUAUUGAUAAUGUACAACAAAAAAAAAAAAAAAUAUAUAUAUAUAUAUAUAUUAAAUGAUAGAAAAUAUAAAAUAAUUUAUAUUUAUUUAUUUUGGUAGAAAAUAUAAAAUAAUUUAUUAAAUAAAAACCAGAGACAUAUUUCGUACGUUAUGGACUGGUCUGGGACUCUGGAUCUGAAUAAGAUCGGCCAUGCCGAUACAGAUUACUAAAUCCCUGGUCGCAAUUAGGGUUUUCAAUGGGUUGGUCAAUCAUGUUGAAGGUGGAGUACUAAUUAUGUUAAGUAACUCUUAAUUAGCUAGGUAUCUGAGUAAUGGAGAGUAAUGUUGCAUCAAAUUUGGAGAAUCUCUUGCUGGUUCCAUUACAGGUCGCCACCAUAUGAAUUUCCAGGGAGAAGGAGGUGGUCCCAGAGGUCCUUAUACAGGACUGAAUUUCUCCAUGGUUUCACAUGAUGUAAUGGACAUUUGGUAUCAAGGAUUUAUUGUCUUAAGCUUUCUCUGCGGAAAUGGAUCAGUUGGCCAAGGAACUAACUGAAGGAGUAGAAUGCCUCCCUAAUCCCUAUAGUGUUGCAGUAAUGCAGUGGGUCUACCAUGAAAACUUUUGAGCCCCAAAGACAACAAAUAGUGGAUUGUUUUGGUCAAUAGUUCUUCACUUGAUGUAAUCCCAAGGCUAGUGACAACCUUGUUUUCAAUGUAGUUGUAGAAGCAUUAGUUUGCAGACAUAAACAUUUCACAACCUGAAUGGUUUAUUUAAGUUUGAAUUUUCCAUUGCAUGAUUUGGUUUAUACAUGUUUGAAUUCAGAGUUUUUUGUAAUUGUACAGGAAAUUUUUGCAGAGGAAAGGAAAAAAAGGAAUGUCAGUUCCAACCUAAACUGUACUUCAUAGAAAAGUUUUCAUCAUUACUUGGCCCCUAGGUUAGGAUGAAGAUUAUAAUUACCUGUCAGCGACUAUCAUCCUCUCCCACUUCCAGGUAUAAUAAGUUUAGGGCAGAGGCAGGGGUUAUGGCUUAAUUAGUUUCUACAAUUCUGAAACAAAUAUCCCUCAGAUAAGUAUUAACUUCAUCCAAUAUGUUUAUACUGGAAUCAUUUAUCAUUUGAUUUUUGUAAGGAAACUGAGAUAAUUUCCGAUGUUCUUGGAGUCGAAGUCUUCAGGCAGACAAAUUGCAAGGAACAUUCUUGUGGGCAGUUACUGUGCCUUCUCCAACAAAGGUAUACUGGCAGGAAGCUCUGCAUUUUCGUUUAUAGGAGUUCCCUUGAUGUAAGUUUGCAACGUUUUGAGGACAAGAAUUAUGAGUUUCGCGUUCCAGAAGAAAUUAAAACGUUUUGAUGUUGCAGAAUCAGAAGGCGUAUUGGAAACAUUGCGGAACAAAUUUUUGAAUUUGGACAGAUUGAAAGGAACUGCAAGUGAAGAAACUGACAGAAAUCAUGGAGUCAUAAAAACCCAUGAAUGCCACAAGUGUAUAUCCCAACUGAGUAAGAUCUCACGGAAUACAGAGUAGAAACCAGCAAAUCUUGAAGGUAAUUAGCAUAUCCACUUAUCAUCACUCAAGAAUGUUAACUGGUAGCUGUAUCGGAUACAGAAUGGUGCAUCUGUGCAACUGCCAUUUAAAGAAGAUGAAAUACACCAUUCUAUUUGGCCAUCA